rnacentral:lncRNA from 1 species
UUUUUUUUUCUUUUUUGGCUUUUUAGGGCCGCACCCACGGCACAUGGAGGUUCCCAGGCUAGGGGUCCAAUCGGAGCUGGAGCCGCCGGCCUAUGCCAUAGCCAUAGCAACACAGGAUCUGAGCCACACCUGUGAGUAGGUCACAACACACAACAAUGCUGGAUCCUUAACCCAUUGAGCGAGGCCAGGGAUAGAGCCUUCAUCCUCAUGGAUGCUAGUCGGGUUCACUAACCACUGAGCCACGACGGGAGCUCCUGUCACUCCUGCUUUUUUUUUUUUUUUUGAUACACCACAUUUGUCUGUGCUUUCCUAGCAUUCACUUAUUAUUGACCUUUUGAUAAACAGUGACUAUUGAUGCUUACCUAGAUAGGGUAGCUAUACUUUAAUCUGGGUUCCUUUAGGUCCCACUGAAAUGCAAGAUCUCAUUAAUCAGACCUUAAUUCUCAUCCACAGUAGUUCCUAAUUCACCCUCAUAUACAGCUAAGAGCUACAUAUGGAAGAUUAAGUUCACUACAGUGACUAGGGUUGGUGGGUAUACCUCAGGGCCAGCAGUAAGUGAUAAGGUAGCUGAUAGACAUAGUAGGCUGCAGUUUUCUACACAGUCUUGAACAUGACAUGGAAUUACUCAUCGUGUUGAAAUACAUUUCAAUUUUCUUCAUUUAACAUACACAUAAUGUUUCGAUUGAAAAAGAUUUUCUUCUCAGAGUAGUUCUAAUAUAAUCUGUAUGUUCUCUGUUUGUCUUCUUGAUCUCUUGAAAAUUGAUGUGCUUUUUUGUUGUUUUUCCAGUUUGUAUUUUAAGUCUACUUCUCCAGUCAUUUUUGUUAUAUUCUAGAGGACAAUCUUUUUGGAAUUUAUAACCCAUUACUGUUGUGAUCCACCAUCUGUCUCAAAAAACAUAGAACCCAUUUACAUGGUUAUUUAGGCUUUGAGAUUUGAGCAAUUUUAUUAUCUGUGAUCAAGGCAAUUGUAUGAUGGCAAACAGUUUGUCUUUGACAGUUUUCUGAUCCUUGUUGAAAAUGAAACUAGGAUGUCGAAUAUCAAGGGUUUUUUUCCUGCACUAUUUAAAGGAAAGAAAAUGCCAAAGGGAACACAUCUUUCUUUGCUAUUCACCUUCUACAUUUUAUGAAAAUAUCUAGUGCAUUUAAAUAAAUGGUAGGUGUUCAAGUUUUUUUCUUGUUAAGAGGGAAAUUUAGGAUUAAGCAACAAUUAUUUAAAUAGUGUUCUUAGAGACAUGUAUAUUAGUUUGUUAUUUUUUGACCUGUCCAUGCAUUUAUAAAUAUGGACCUUAUUUGAAAUUAAUCCUCUAGGCUCUGUAAGGAGUGUUUUCACCAAAAAUGAAGUACAGUACUAUCUUUGCAAAAGUUCAAAUGUGGCAAUGCAAAUGGUUGCUUUAAUGAUGAGAGUAGAUUAUGUCCUUGAGAAAUGCUUCCAUAGCUGGAGAGGGGUUGUGCUGAGCUACCUAUAAUGCCCACUGAGUUUCUUUUCACUCAGUUACAUUUUGUUUAGUGUGCAUUAUUUGUUGAGGACAAUAGAAACAUCACAGCUUCCAUUCUGCACAUUAAUCAAUUCUCCCUUUUCUCGACAGAUACAGUUUUCUUCUAGGCAUUCCCGAGAUAAAACUCAAGGUGCUUUUGGACAAACUGGUUGGGUUUAAGCCCUCUCAUCAGAAAGCCAUUGUGAGAUUUGUAUUACUUAUACACUACCCCAAGGUAACACCAAUAAGUGCUUUUACAAGGAACAGAAAUCAUCUGACAGUAAUGAAAUCAUGUUCUUCCAGAAAAAACAAUAUAUGGCCCUAGAGGUAAUAGGGACAGGAAAGAGUACAGUACAAGCAAUACUCUUUUGUAUACUCUGGGGGAAAGCAGCACUCAGCAUGCAGUUAUUAGAGCCAGCAAGCUUCAUAAAGGAAGUGGAUAUGCUGGGUUCCUUUGCAGCAGGAAUAGGAGCUGUGUCUAUGUACACGAGUUGGGAGGUCUGUGGGGGAGGAUGACGUGGGGUGGUGACCUGAAGUUAUGAGUGCCUGAAUUUGCUGGUUAAAGAUGCCAGAGGAGCCGACAGGGCCAGAGGAGGGAGUGGGGAUGGGGUGUGGGCUGGGGGCUGCAGGAAGUAUGAGAAAGAGUUGUAAGCAGGUGCAGAGUCGUGGGGAGGCUGGAAGGUGAAGAGAAGCCAAAGCAGAGUGGGAGAAGCAUAGUCUGAACAGCAGGAAAGGAAAAUGGACUUGGCAGUCAUAUUUGGCAAAGAUUGGAGUAGGGAACUGAUGAGAAAGAGGCCAAUGAGAAGGAGUUUGUGUAAAUCAAGGCAGGAUAUGAUGAGUGUCUUGGCAGCAGAGAGAAAUAAAAAAGAACAGAUUUUAGGGAAAAAAGAUUUUAUGUAAAGCUAGACAUGACGAUAUACAGAUUAAAGAGAGCAUGAAUGCAGAAGCCAAGUUUAAUAUUUUUUCUACCAUUACUUUCUGUCUCACCUACUCCAUGUCAAUUAACUCCUAUUUUAUCAAAAAUCUCCUUUGACCUUCAGAAACACCAUGUUCCAUCUACCUCCUUUGUUCUCCCCUUUCUUAUGGCUUAAUCUUUUCGUCCUCUUCAUCUCUCUUUUGGAUGCCUCUAAUUAUGUAUCUCCAACCUGAACAAAUCUCCAGAGCUUUAAUUUUGUAAUUCUGUUGUUGGAUAUUUCCUCAUGGAUGCACUGCUGUUAUCUCAGAGUCCAAAAGCUGAAAUUUUCUUUACAUGAAUAUUUUUUUAAAGUACCCCCCUCUGUGAGAUCAUAUCUUCUAAUUAUUCAGGCUCAAAACUUCAUCUCUACAUAUCCAAAUAGUCUCCAAGGUCAGCAAAUGUCUCCAUAGAACCUGUUCUUCCUUUUCAUCCACGUUCAGACCCACUUCUCCCUAACCCUCCUAGGAGGGUGUCUCUCCCAGCUGCCACUGGCCAUUCAGUGCCCUUCAGACAGGUUUUCUAUUAAAACAUUUGUCCCUUUUCCUAUGUGAAGAAUUUUUCUUAAGUUAUUGAACUGCUUCCGCAAUCUGGCCCAAAUUCAACUUGAACUCUGUCUUUUACCCCUCCUGUAUGUAUAGCUUAAGCUUCAACAAGAUAAAUCUGUCAGCUCCCCCUCAAGCAUGUCAUAUGUUAACUCCACAUCUUUGCUUUUAUUUUUCUUCUUCAAGUGGAAAUAUUUUCUUUCUUCAUCCAUCCCUCAUUUUCACAUUCCUUUAAUCUAUCUCUUAGCCACCCUUCAAGCCAUUCUAUCAUGAAGCUUCCCUUUUACACUGUACAGCUUGUCACCAUAAAAAAUAAAGAGACCAAAACAUUUAGUAACCCAAAUAGACAUUUCUUUACCGCUCUAGGUAAUGAUCUAGAGGCUGGCAAGCAGUCUGGGAUGGCUUGGCCACUUUUGUCUAUGAAAUGAUUCAGAUGUCCUCUGGUUGGUUGCUCUACUCAUUCACAUGGUGAGAGCAUCAUUAAGGGCAAAUGGCACAGGUCCAGAUUCCAGGCUACAGUAAAGGUAGGAGAGAAAGUUGAAAAUACAGCAGCUUCCUUUGGAGGGUGUGACUGGAAAGUUUCACACACAGUUUACCACCUGUACCUCAAUGGGUGCCCUUAGUCACAUGACCACACUUAGCUGCAAGGAAGGCUGGGAAUCAGAUCCCAGCUAAAAUUCAGAAUCUUAUUUCUAAAAGGAAGGAGGGGUGAGUUCCUGUUGUGGCUUAGCAGAUUAAGUACCCAGCUAGUGUCCACGAGGAUGUUAACCACAGCCACAGCAACACCAGAUCUGAGCUGCAUUUGCGACCUACACCACAGCUCACGGCAACGCAGCAUCCUUAACCCACUGAGCGAGGCCAGGGAUUGAACCCACAACCUCAUGGUUCCUAGUUGGAUUCGUUUCUACUGUGCCAUGACAGGAACUCCUGCUGUGGUAUUUUAAUGCAUAUGAAGUAAAAAUUCCCCAUCACUGCAAAAGGUCAUGACUCUAGAUGCUAAAUUGCUAGAGACAACCUCUCUGAAAGUUGUCGUCUUGUUGGUAAGGGACUAGGUCAGAAAACAAAAUCUUACAGUGAAAGGACAGGGCUAAAGGAAUCACACAAAUAGAAAGAAGUGACCUUCUCAACAAGGGAAAUGGAAUCUAGGGGCAUGAGAAAAUAACUACAGAUGGCCAAGAAGCCAUCAACAUCGAUUAUAAGUGUUGCCCAUUGAAUCAAAUUGGCAAAAUCAAAUUCCAUAACUUUCAUAAGGAAAGGAAAUGUUAGGUACAGAAAUAGUCAUUUAAUAAUUUAAAGGCUUCUGGCAAAUAGACGGGUCCAAAGAGGCUAGGUAACAAUUUUUUGAAGUAAGAAUUUUAAACAGGGAACCAUGGCUUUGCAUGGCACUAAUUUCACUGAAGAGACACAAAUGGAUCCCCGUUCUGCUGUAAGGGUGGGAGCACUCAGAGCCUCCAACUGUGUGAUUAAGAAUUAAAUAGAAGUGUAAAUUUUAUG